rnacentral:rRNA from 1 species
UACAGAGGUCCCAAGCGUUGUUCGGAUUCAUUGGGCGUAAAGGGUGCGUAGGCGGCGCGGUAAGUCGGGUGUGAAAUCUCGGAGCUUAACUCCGAAACUGCAUUCGAUACUGCCGUGCUUGAGGACUGGAGAGGAGACUGGAAUUUACGGUGUAGCGGUGAAAUGCGUAGAUAUUGGGAGGAACACCAGUGGCGAAGGCGGCUCGCUGGACCGGUUCUGACGCUGAGGCGCGAAAGCGUGGGGAGCAAACGGGG